GGCGAACGGGUGAGUAAUACGUGAGCAAUGUGCCCUUGACUCUGGGAUAAGCGCUGGAAACGGCGUCUAAUACCGGAUACGACCAUCGGAGGCAUCUCCUGGUGGUGGAAAGAACUUCGGUCAAGGAUCAGCUCACGGCCUAUCAGCUUGUUGGUGAGGUAAUGGCUCACCAAGGCGACGACGGGUAGCCGGCCUGAGAGGGUGACCGGCCACACUGGGACUGAGACACGGCCCAGACUCCUACGGGAGGCAGCAGUGGGGAAUAUUGCACAAUGGGCGCAAGCCUGAUGCAGCAACGCCGCGUGAGGGACGAAGGCCUUCGGGUUGUAAACCUCUUUUAGCAGGGAAGAAGCGAGAGUGACGGUACCUGCAGAAAAAGCACCGGCUAACUACGUGCCAGCAGCCGCGGUAAUACGUAGGGUGCAAGCGUUGUCCGGAAUUAUUGGGCGUAAAGAGCUCGUAGGCGGUUUGUCACGUCUGCUGUGAAAACCCGAGGCUCAACCUCGGGCUUGCAGUGGGUACGGGCAGACUAGAGUGCGGUAGGGGAGAUUGGAAUUCCUGGUGUAGCGGUGGAAUGCGCAGAUAUCAGGAGGAACACCGAUGGCGAAGGCAGAUCUCUGGGCCGUAACUGACGCUGAGGAGCGAAAGCAUGGGGAGCAAACAGGCUUAGAUACCCUGGUAGUCCAUGCCGUAAACGUUGGGAACUAGAUGUGGGGACCAUUCCACGGUCUCCGUGUCGUAGCUAACGCAUUAAGUUCCCCGCCUGGGGAGUACGG
rnacentral:rRNA from 1 species